rnacentral:rRNA from 1 species
GGAUUAGAUACCCUGGUAGUCCACGCCGUAAACGAUGAGCACUAGAUAUGGGAGGAUUGACCCCUUCUGUGUCGUAGCUAACGCAUUAAGUGCUCCGCCUGGGGAGUACGGUCGCAAGACUAAAACUCAAAGGAAUUGACGGGGGCCCGCACAAGCGGUGGAUUAUGUGGUUUAAUUCGAAGCAACGCGCAGAACCUUACCUGGGCUUGAAGUCCUGAGAACCUGUCUGAAAGGACGGGGUGCCCUUCGGGGAAUUCAGUGAUAGGCGCUGCAUGGCCGUCGUCAGCUCGUGCCG